rnacentral:rRNA from 1 species
AUUGAACGCUGGCGGCAUGCUUUACACAUGCAAGUCGAGCGGUAACAGGGAGCUUGCUCCGCUGACGAGUGGCGAACGGGUGAGUAAUGCGUCGGAACGUGCCGAGUAGUGGGGGAUAACGCAGCGAAAGUUGUGCUAAUACCGCAUACGUACUGAGGUAGAAAGUGGGGGACCUUCGGGCCUCACGCUAUUCGAGCGGCCGACGUCUGAUUAGCUAGUAGGUGAGGUAAAGGCUCACCUAGGCGACGAUCAGUAGCGGGUCUGAGAGGAUGUUCCGCCACACUGGGACGGAGACACGGCCCAGACUCCUACGGGAGGCAGCAGUGGGGGAUUUUGGACAAUGGGCGAAAGCCUGAUCCAGCCAUGCCGCGUGUCUGAAGAAGGCCUUCGGGUUGUAAAGGACUUUUGUCGGGGAGGAAAUCCCCAGCGCUAAUACCGCUGGGGGAUGACAGUACCUGAAGAAUAAGCACCGGCUAACUACGUGCCAGCCGCCGCAGUAACAC